rnacentral:rRNA from 1 species
AGUGAACGCUGGCGGCAGGCCUAACACAUGCAAGUCGAGCGGCAGCGCGGGGGCAACCCUGGCCGCGAGCGGCGGACGGGUGAGGAAUUCGUCGGAAUCUGCCUUUUUGUGGGGGAUUACGUAGGGAAACUUACGCUAAUACCGCAUACGUCCUACGGGUGAAAGAGGGGGACCGCAAGGCAUCACGCAGAAAGAUGAGCCGACGACCGAUUAGCUAGUUUGUGGGGUAAAGGCCCACCAAGGCGACGAACGGUGGCUGGUCUGAGAGGAGGAUCAGACACACUGGGACGGAGACACGGCCCAGACUCCUACGGGAGGCAGCAGUGGGGAAUAUUGGACAAUGGGCGCAAGCCUGAUCCAGCCAUGCCGAGUGUGGGAAGAAGGCCUUCGGGUUGUAAAGCACUUUUGUCCGGAAAGAAAUCCCUGGAGCUAAUACCGUCGGGGGAUGACGGUACCGGAAGAAUAAGCACCGGCUAACUUCGUG